rnacentral:rRNA from 1 species
UACAGAGGUCUCAAGCGUUGUUCGGAUUUAUUGGGCGUAAAGGGUGCGUAGGUGGCGGGGUUAGUCGGGUGUGAAAUCUCGGAGCUCAACUUCGAAACUGCAUUCGAUACUGCCUUGCUAGAGUACUGGAGAGGAGAUCGGAAUUUACGGUGUAGCAGUGAAAUGCGUAGAUAUCGUAAGGAAGACCAGUGGCGAAGGCGAAUCUCUGGACAGUUACUGACACUGAGGCACGAAGGCCAGGGGAGCAAACGGG